GCAUUAAGCAGGCAUGUUCUUUGCCACUGGUGCCACCUGGGAAGCCCCAUUCUUUACAUUAGUUUAAGUUAAAAAAAUUUAAGAUCAGGUCAUCAAAAAAUGCAAAGUUAAAAAAAAUUUUCAGAAUAAUGCCCAUUAGUCAAAGUCUCCCAAAAUACUAAUGUCCUGUCUUAUGUGUGUGUGUUCAGUGCCAAUCUCUGAAGCUAAGGUUAACAGAUGAAAACCCAGUCCUACAACAUGAUGCAAAACAAGACUGCUAGCAAGGUUAGACCGACACAGAUGAAAGGAGCAGGCAACCACGCCUAGGCAAAAAUGGAAGGUUAUUCACAGCAAAACCUUCUACAGGGAAGGUACUUUUCAAUUACCUACAAACUACGUUGCAGUUCACUGUCCCACCACAGUGAUACAGCGCCGUGAUGCCACUACCUACUUCCUCAAGCCACUUCCUCAUUGCACUCGUCUAACAUCUGAGCAAACAUUCUGAGAAUUCUGUCAAGAGACAGAAGAACAGUUCAAACUUAGCUUCAUCACUAACAAGACCCUUAAGGACGGGGCCAGAAGAGUGCUCUGCAGAAAGGGACAUCGCUGGGGGCCCGGCUGAAUCCCUUGCGGGACCAGGGCUGCAGCUCCGCGGUGACACCCGGCUGGCGGCCGCCGCAGCCCCGGCCCUCCACCCUGCCGCGCUUCACGGGAAAGCAAACUGAACUUCCUCAUUCACCGGAGCGUCCCCGACACAUCCAGCCCACAUGCCACGAGCAAGUCCACCCCUCAAAAACCCAAGGCCCUCUUCCCCUCUGGAGUCUUCAUUUGGCUUGAUGGCAUCUGUCCCCUUAUUUGGCUGGCAAAUAUAUCCCAUACUUCAAAGGCCAGGCCAGAUGUCACCUUGUCUGUGACGACUGCCUCAGAGAGCUCUGGUCUAUACAGGACCCCCUGUGCAUAUCACCCAAUGAUCUUUUUUGCUUUUUCACUCACAUCAGAAUUUUUUUUUUUUAAAUAGACUUCCUCACUCAUUUAAAUCUAUAUAAUUUUCAUACAUAAAAGGUAAUUUUCAGCAUUUAUAAAUACUGAGCUUUUAAACCACCACUCUUAAACAUAUUCAAUGAGACUGAAUACUCUAACAUUCUAACACAUCACCUAAUUAAAACACACAAAUAAGCUUUUAAAUAUCUGGGAAUUUUAGGCUCCCUCCCACCCUCCAUGAACUGAACAUCUCCUCAACUUUAUUUCACUUUUCACUUCCUCCACAGGAUUUUUAUAGUAAUACACUUUUAUAUUAGAAAUUACUGCUUCAUUCUUCUGCAACAAAAAUGACUAUAAACUGAAAUUAACCAUAAGACUUUCUCUUAAGUACUAAGAUGUGUUCAUGUAAGUAGGUAGAUAAUAUUACAGCCAGCCAAUUGUCUGAAUGCCUUUUGAGUUGUUCUAAGCAGUGUGAAUGAUCUAUAUGCUGAUGUUUCCAUUAAUUACAACUUCAGUUUUGUUAUGAACAAAGCAUUAAUUGGAAAUCGGCUGACUAGUGAGAAGACUUGUUUAUUAAUUGUUAAUUGUUCAUAUUCACAGCACUGCUGCUGCAGCUAAGUCGCUUCAGUCGUGUCCGACUCUGCGUGACCCAAUGGACGGCAGCCCACCAGGCUCCCCCGUCCCUGGGAUUCUCCAGGCAAGAACACUGGAGCUUCCUUGGUGGUCCAGGGUGCGCUCCCUGGUCUGGGAAGAGCCCGCCCGCCAUAGGGGAGCGAAGCCUGUGCUCCAGUGAAGUCACCGCACUGAGACGCCCGAGCGCUGCAUUAGAGGGCAGCCGCCGUCACAGCCCGAGAAGGCCGGCCUGCGGCAACGAAGGCCCCGUGCAGCCAGGAAGUAAAGAGUACUCGACAAACACUAACCGCUUCUAAAAUACUUUUAUGGAAAGUAAACUUUUAUGGAAAGUAGUGCUAUUUGGCUGUUGGACGAGAAACGCAUGAAUGUGGUCAUCAGAGGCUUUGUGGAUUUGAUUCAGACUCUACCUGAUUUUCAAAGUUAUUUUUUAACUGUUCAGUAUCAACUUUUUGCUGCUUCAUUUUUCAUAUGUACUUUUUUAUUGACGUACGGCUGAUUUAUCUUUUUGUGUUCACUUCAGGUGUAAUGCAAAGUGAUUCAAUUGUGUUUUUUCAGAAUAUUCUAUUACAGGUUUAUGUUUUCUUCAGAUUGUAUUCCAUUAGAAGUUAUUAUAAGAUACUGAGUACUGUUCCCAGUGCUAGCAGUAAAUCCUUAUUGCUCCUCUAUUUUAUGUAUAUAGUCUCUCAAUCCCACAUCCCUCAUUUGUCCCUGCUCUCUUCCCUCUCCUCUUUGGCAACCACAGGCUUGCUUUCUGUGUCUGUAUGUGUGUGUGUGUGUGUGUAUAUAUAUAUAUAUAUCUCUUUUAUAUUAUUUUUAAGAAUCCACAUAGUAAGUGCUAUCAUACAGUAUUUGUCUUUCUCUGACAUAGUAUACUAUUCUCUAGGUCCAGUAACAUGUUACUGGAAAUGGCAACAUUUCAUGCUAAAAAGAAUUAUUUUAAAGGACAGUAUCCAAUCAAAAUGGUUUAAUAGAAGGACGUGGAACUUGCUUCCUCCCACAAACACAUGAAAAAUACAUCUACAGAUGGAACAAUUCUCCCAGAACACCUACUGAACACCAGCAGGAGCCCUCAAACCCCUGAAAGGACAGGAAUGGUCUCCAAGUGACAGGCAGGAUGAAGUGGGGGAGGGAAGGCAGCAGGACGGGACCUGUCCCCUGGGAGGAGCUGGAGAAAGGAAAGGUUCCCCCACUGCGGGAGGCCGCCUCACUGGCCAGGAGAUGAGCGGCAGCCGGUCAGGCGCAGGCCCCCACCCUGCGGCCCCAGCCUGAGAAACUUCUCGUAGGGGCGGAGGCCGGGUGCUGAACCACAGGGGUUUAGAGGGCAGGCCCGCGGAGAUGACCCGAAGGGGCCGGCAUGUGCUCCGGCCACAACUUCAGGGGCUCCUGCCCCGGCAGGUGCCUGGGAGCCAACGCCAGCAGGCUGCCCAUGCACAGAGGCGGAGCUGGACCCAGGGGCCGUGCGGCUUAGGAGCAAGACUGCGGUCUCUCCCCACAGCUCUAGGAGCUGCCGGCGUCCAUCUCUGUUGGCAGCCGUGUAAACUCAGCACCCACAGAACAUCAUGCGGACCACAGGUCCUCCCGUGGCUGGAACAGAUGCAGCCUGAGCAGCUGGGGGCCUCCUGGACGCGUACACGCAGGGCCUGGGCCGGGCCAGGGUCUGAACACCUCCAGAGCCCCACAGCAGGGGCACCACUCCUGUGGUCCUGGAGCCUGACGUCCGUGGAGCUGAGCUGGUGGCCUUGUGAACACCAGGCCAGAAGGACCCCGGGGCCAACUGAGGGCAGUCCCAAGGCUGAGAUGGGGGGAGGGCAGAGCUGACCACGGUACGUCCUAAUAGGUGCCAGGUGAGCAGACUCACCUGAGAGCCGCUCUGAGGAAGACUUAGUGGGGACGCUCCAAUCCCCCCUACCUUGCACCACAACUCAGAAGCACAUCUGGGAACUUCUACUCCCAACAGCUAGGGCACAAACCGGGCCCCUGACAGGCCAAUGACAACCACAGAGCAAGGAGGCCCUGCCCAACGUCCGCUGCAGGUGCUGCUCACAACGUCAGCCACACGUCCCAGCAAGGGGAGAACAGCGAGCAGAUGCUGAGGAAAGCGGUGGCAGGCAUCCAGGCUGCAAACAGCCCUCGCCCCCAAAAAUAUUAAACAGGGCUACACAGGGGUGCUCCCACAUAAAAACAGCCCUCCAAAAAACCACCGCAGAUAACUGCUUCUCCUAAAUGCAUACAGCAAGGGAAAUGUAAGUAAAAUGAGGAAGCACAGGAACCACUCUCAAUUAAAAGAUCAAGAUAAUUCCCCUGAAAGAACAAACAACAAAACAGACCUCUUCAGUCUAAUACAUGGCAAGUUCAAAAAGGAGAUAAUGAAAACAGUGAAGAAAUUGAGGACUAUUGAUAGAAAUGCAGAUUACUAUAAAAAGGAACUAGAAACUAAAAAAGGAACCAAGAAAAAUUAGUGAAUUCAUUUCUUGAGAUGAAAGUUGCGCUGAAAGUAGUGAAUAGUGGAAUGAAAAAUGAAGAACAAUUAAGUGACCUAGAAGAUAGAAUAAUGGAAAUCACCCAAUCAGAACAACGGACAGAAAGCCAAAUGAAAAAAAAAAAAGAAAGCGAUAUAAGAGGCCUAUGGGAUAAUAUAAAGCAUGCCAAUCUGUGCACAACUGGAAUUCAAAAAAGGGAAGAAAGAAAAGAGGACUGAAAAUGCAUUUAAAUAAAUUAUGGCUGAAAACGUCCCAAAUCUAAAGAAGGAAACAGAUAUCCAGGCACAGGAAACAGAAGGUCCCAAACAAGGUAAAUCUAAACAGACCUACACAAGGCAAGACCUGUUUCUCCACAGAAACACCGCAGGCCGGAAGGGAAUGGCAAGAUGUAUUCAAAGUCCUGAAAGGGAAAAGUCUGCAACCUGAGAUACUCUAUUGAAACAAAGAAUUCCCCGAACAAGUAAAAACUAAAACAAUACAGCAAUACUAAACCCAUCCUAAGGGGAAUAUUGAAAGGUCAUCUCUAAACAUAUACAAAUUUUAAGCAUCUACAGGAAAGAGAAAAUCAUUAUCUGAAAGUAAAUCACUUAGGAAAGCCAGUAUACAGAUUAAAAAAUCAAAAAUUUCUGUGAAGUGGGAGGUUGGGGUUGACAUAUAUACACUACUGAUACUAUGUAUAAAACAUAACCAAUGAGAACCUCCUGCACAAUAUGCAGUGCUCUAUGGUGACCAGAACUGGAGAAAAUCCAAAAACGGGGCUACAUGUAUGCACAGAGCUGACUCGCUUUGCUGUGCAGCAGAAACACUGUAAAGCAACUAUGCUCCAACGAAAACUCAAACAAAAACAGCAUGGUUCUGGCACAAAAACAGAUGCAUAUAGAUCACUGAAACAGAGUAUGGAGGCCGGAAGUAAACCCUGACCCUGGUGGUAGGAAUACAAGUGGGCCUAGCCACGAUGUAGAAUAGCAUGGAGGUUUCUCAAAAACUACAAAUAGAGUUGCCAUAGAUCCUGCGAUCCCACUUCCAGGCAUAAACCCAGACAAAACUGUAAUUUGAAAAUAUGUACCCCAGGGUGCAUAGCAUCACUACUGUUGCCAAGACAUGGAAACAGAAUGUCCAUUAAUAGAUGAGCAGGCAAAGAAGAUGUGUGGGGGGGGUGUGUGUACACAAUGAAAUAUUACUCCAUAAAAAGAAUGAAAUUACACAAUUAGCCGCAAAAUAAAUGGAUUAAUCUUACUAAGUCAAGUAAGUCAGAAAGAGAAGAACAAAUACCAUAUCACUUAUAGGUGGAAUCUAAAACAUGGCCAGAUGCACCCACCUAUGCAGCAGACUCACAGAGAACAGACGGGUGCUGCCCCGGGGCAGGGUGGGGUCAGCAGAGCACACUGGUGUAUACAGGAGGGGUGGGCGGCACAGGGAGCUACGCCCAGUGUCCUGUGAUAAACCAGUGGAAAGGCAUAUGAAACUGAAUGUGUGUGUGUGUGUGUGUGUGUGUCUGAAUCACUUUGUUGUACAGCAGAAAUUAACACAACACUGUAAGUCAACUAUACUUCAGUACAAUUUUUAAAAUGCAAAAAAAGGAGGUAAUAGAUUCUUAUGGUACAAAAGGGUAUACAGAAAAAAGUAAAUCUUAGGCACAUUAUCAAUACAGGACCCAAAGCUGCUUCUCAUUAAAACAAUAAAAUCUUAACUGGUAAAAACUAUUUACCCUAUCAUCUUGUUUUUAAUAGUUAAAACUUAACUCUUUUAUCUUUCUCCUCAAAACUGUGAAUUUCAUAAAUCAACCCUGCUAGUUACAAUUCCUCAUAAACAACUCUUGAGAACCUGAAUGCUACUGAAGUACACGGUUCAACUUUUUCUUCCUUAAAUGCAGGAACUCUAUAAAUUAGCUCAUCUGUCAUCUCACAAAUCCAUACUAAAUGAAAAACUGAGGGGCAGACUAAGUCUUUAGAAAGUUAUACAUCUCUUAAUUUUGUGAAUAUAAAAUUGCCCCUCUACUUUUUUUUUCAUGUGAUUUAAAAAUAUUUUUAUUGAUAUAUUACACCUCUACUUUUAUUGAAAGAGUUACUUCUAAAUAAUGAAUGUAACAAAUACCUUCUAAAUUCACUUAAAGACAAGGUUCUUUCAUAAUAAAAUCAAAACAAAAUAGCUAGAAUUACACGCUGUUUUGCUGAAAGGCUCCAAAACCUGUCCCAUUAGUUCCUUACUCCAUCUCUCAGGUUCAGCACAGCGCCCGACCUACAACAGGCCCAGUGCAGAACUGCAGAACCCACACUCUGAAAUGCGAGAAACCAAAGAUAACAAAAACACCAGUUUUUAAAAAAUACCUAAUGUCAAAUCAGAUUAAACCACCAAUACCUGUAAAUUACUGGCAGUGCCUGUCACUAUAAUUUCACCCUUCCCAACCACCCCAUUUGGCAGGAAAACCAAGCUGCUUGGAGGCAGACCUGAAACAAUGGAUAGUCUUUUCCUGUGAGAGUUGUGAAAGCGCUACUACCGUGAAUAACACAACUACACAAGAUCCAAAAACAGGUUCGUUCUUGUCACAGGGAUUGUGUUUUCUCGUGCUUACCGAUGACUUGACUUUCGCGGGAUCGACUCUGUCGUACACUGGAGUGCAGUACACGACCAAGAUAAGCAGACUCAGCAGAAAGGCGCUGCAGCUGACAAACUCAAAGAAGUAGAGUCCUCCACACAGAGUGCACUGCGACACCACCUCCUCACAGAUGAAGGCCAGGAGCGACAGCACCUGCAGAAGAAGCGGAGCAUCUGGCUUACCUGUUUCAGGGAAACCUACAGAAUUCAGAGAAUACCAUCUUGCUCACUCAAGUAUUUGUCGAGUGGAGACUUGGCAAACAAGCUUCCUCAACGAACCCGUUCAAUCUACACGGGACUCAGUCCAGAUUCCUUGAAGGGAAUCUCCAUGUGCUUCCCUGGUGGUUUAGUAGUCAA